AAAAGAGGUCAAAGGUCACCUCAGAGGUCACAGAUCAUCAGAUAUAUUUCCAUAAACAGUGUUAUAUCAGAAAGCAUUUUGUCCAAACUGAAUGUUUGAGUGUUGAGAAGAUCUGAGUUUCUUCUAAUAUCAGUGUGUUGAAGUGUUGUUUCUCUCUCUCUGCUGGAGUUUGUGUUCACUCGAGUGGAAUAGAGGUUUUUGUACGACCGUUUCAUUAGAUUGUAUCACUGUGGUUGACUUUUGGUGGAGGAACUAAACUGGUGCUCGCUGGUCCCACAGUGAAGCCCUCAGUGUCUCUGCUGCCGCCCUCUUCUCUGCAGAUCUCUGGAGACUCAGCCGCACUGCUCUGCCUGCUCAGCUCUUACUCUCCACAGGGGGCGCUGGUGAGCUGGACACUGGACGGGUCAGAGGUCACCGAGGGGGUCGUGACCAGCGCAGAGAGCCAGCGGGACGGCCGCUACAGCCGCAGUAGCGUCCUGACCCUCAGCAAAGCACGCUGGGAAAAGGGAGAGGUGUACGUCUGCAGAGUAACACAUGAUGGAGCUCCUCAUGAGGUCUCGUUCCACAAGAGCUCUGAGUGCUGAUGUUUCUCUCCUGAAGAUGAGCCGUAUCUGAGUGUCCUGUGUCAGGCAGGAUUCACAUGAGUCUAGUGCUGCAGCUGUAGUGAUUUACAACUCAAUACUGAAAGAGAGCUGGCGUGUCAAAGCACUGUGUGAUCUUUCAAUCUGCUGUAACAUUCAAUAAAGCUUCUCAACAAGUUCACUUUGUGUCUGACAACAUCAUUCAACUAACAGAUGAAGAUGCAGGUGCUUUUCACAAACUUGAUGUAAAUGUCAAAUAAAGCUCUUGGGGUUUGAACAUGGUCUCUGGAGACAGAGCUGCUCUAUUCUGAGAGGAUCAGAAUCACUCCACCCUGACAAUGCAAAUGGGCUUUUCAGUCUCGCUGUUUGAUUGGUCACAUGAUCUGGACUGAAACACACCAGUUUCACUUCUGCUGAAAAUGUGGUGAUGAAAAUAUAUAUGAAAAAUGUCAUGAAAAUCACAACUAAAACUAGUCAUGUUUGUUGGUUGAUGAAGAAGAGCUCUUGAUCAUGUCAUGUUCAGUUCAUAGAGCUAUAAACACAUUCAGAGCAGUGAAGCAUGUGCCGCUCAUGUAAAACACCCUCUGAAUGCAAAAGACAGAAGAGAGAUCAGGACGAUAUACAUUCAGAGUCCAAUAGUUUUACUGACAGGGUUAAAAGAAAGGCUUUACAUCAGCAAAGCACAGCAACAGUAAAUAUACAGAGUCAGACAUACACAUUUACACAUCAUUCUCUACAGGACACAACUGAAUGAUUCCUGCUGUAUCAGUAGUCAAUGAUCUUGCUGCUCAACAUUCAAACACUUGUCUAUUGUUUGCUGUAGCAGUGCAGUGUACUUUCAGAAACCCUCCACCUCACAUUCUGAUUGGGGGUCCCUGAUAAUAUAUCCAUCAUGAAAUGUGGAUAAACAGAAAAGGCUGCACCCACUUCAGCCCCUCAUUUCAUUGAACAGACGUGUCAUAUAUAGAUCCGCUGUGAAGUCCAAAAACCUUUUAUGUUGCCUGAGGGCGACACCAUGCCAUAGACGAAUAAAGAAACAAUUCUAUAAUUGAGUUAACUUCAGCAAAACUUGUAUGUAAUGUUCUAUUUUCAGUGGUUUAAUCGGGAACAAUUACUGGGACACCAUAGGAAGAUUUAUUGUUUCCCCUUUAAGCAUUUGUGCUCAUGCUGUAUGUCGACGGGGAAGCAGAGGUCGUUUUGCUGUUUCACAUUUAUCCUGUAUUUGCUUUACUGUAUCUUUAUAUCAUAAUCGCUGUAUUUAUGAUGUUAGAACAUUGUUAAGGGUUUCUGUCAUAAUGUGCAUCAGUGAUUAGUGAAUUUUCCUUUAAAGUGCUGCUUUUAACCAUUGAAUUUUAGCAUCUCAUUUGCACAUGUGUCUUUCUAUGCAGGGAUGAGAGAGUAGGCCUUCUGAUGUGUGUAUACUAAUCUUACCUCACAGUUUAUGAUUAUUAAUUAUUGAUGAUUAUUAAUUAUUAAUAAAUCGGUACGAGCAUAGUUCCUGCAUGUGUGCUGGGUCAGGACUAUCCUCGUUCAUGUCCGUGGCAUGUACAGCAGAGACAGCCUGUCCAACAGCAUUAAGUUCUUGUUAUCAAAGACGACGUGAACCGACAGGCUUUAGAUGGGAGUCUCAAUCGUUCUGUUGGCACAGAUGCAAUCACUCGACCUGGAUAACAUCAGAGUAUUAUAAUUUAGCAGAGGGACUUCUUUUAAGUUAUAAAGCAUAGCUUUAAUUUACCAAUUAUGUUUUCAAAAAGAAUAUUAAAGAAUAUUACAAAACAUGCAGUAGAAGAGUAAUAAUGCAAACAAAUGUUAAUAAAAAGGCUUAAAUACAAACACUUUUCUCUCUUUGCUGUGGAAGUUCAGUAUAAGAGGAAAUGUCAGGCAUCUUAGGGGGGCACUGCAGUAUUGAUCUGGUGAAGGAGGAGGUCAUCGAGUAAAAAAGGUUGAGAAACACUACACUAGUGUCAUCACAUCGACACAACGUCAAAGUGACUGACAGAUAGAGAACUCAGUUAUGUAACAGACACGCCAUCUAGUGAUGAAGCAUGGAAGUGCAAUUAAAGUGACUGACUUUCCUGCAGUUCGAUUACAUUGUAGUGGAAAGUUUUGCAGGACCAAACACCACUAACAUUUAUAUAAUAUAAAGAUUAUGUUACAUGCUUAGUACAUCCAAAUAAAUAAAUAAUGUUUCUGAAAGGUUUGAUACAAUAUUGUGUUGUUUGUGAUCCUCCAUCAGCAGCUGCAGUAUCUCUCAGCUGUAUCAGUGCAUCACUGUGACGUCUGACUGACCGAGGUUUUUGUACCACUC